CUUGGAACAGCUUGUGUGUGCCUCUCAGAUUCCUACAGAAGAAAGGAUACCUUUUCUUUUUUAUUGGAUGGACAACAACAUAACCGCAACAAUAGAUCUAUCAGGUAAUUGGCCAUCUGUCUUAAUCCAUGUGUACUUAGAACUUACAUGUCAGGUUGUGCUAUCAAGUCAAGUUUUCGGUUUAUACUCUUGCUUCUAAAUAGUUUUCGGUUUAUACUCUUGCUUCUAAAUAAUGGGGAAAACCUAUUUUCUGAAAUUUUGCACUCUAGACCUGAAAUUAUAGAGAAAUUUGUGAAUAGUUAAAUGAAUUUGAGCAUUUGAUUCAUUGCAUGUGCGUGGUGGUCGAGCACGGUAGUGCUGAUGGGUGCCGUCUCUGUCGACUGGAGAAGCGCAGGUCACGGCUCACACCGCUGCUCUAUUGGGGUCAUCAACCGUCGUGCUUGCGUUGCGCCUGCGCUCAGGUCCUACAUCCCAGUGAGCGUUGGGUGACGUGUCCAUCGGCUGAGCGACAAGUCGGAGCUGCAAGUCGUUGACCAUGGGGUGCUACUGUGAGGAUCUCAUGUCUUUCACUCUAUGUUAGCAUCAUUGUAUCCAUUUCCAGCUGAAGUAGACAUGGUAUUCUGGCUCGUGAAUCCAUUUCGACUUUUGGGCUUGCAGCCACAUGCAGUUUCAACUUCCCUCUCUGCAGUUUCAGACCCCUCCUUGCUACUCUGCGUACUGUUUCUCAGGUAAAUCUGCUCUUUCUUAUGUAUCUCUUACAUAUGUACCUAUAAAAAAGAGUUCCAUACUGCAGGUCUAUAGCCUUGAAUGAAAAAUAUACUAUGGCUUGGAUUUCGCCCUGUAUGAUUAAACUCGAUUAUGAGAAAGCCUUUGACAAAGUUAAUCUAGACUUCUUGUAUGAGGUGCUGGAAAAGAGGAACUUUGGCCCUAGAUGGAUUAAUUGGAUAAAACAAAUUACUCAACUAGGUUCGAUUGGUGUGAAAAUUAAUGGAGUAGAAGGGAACUUCUUUACUACUAGUAAAGGGCUUAGACAGGGAGACCCUGCCCCCCUUUGUUGUUUAAUCUUGUCAUUGAUGUACUGACCAGAAUGCUAAUUAAAGCUGCAUCACAUGACCUAGUGAAAGGCUUGUGCUCUGAUCUCAUCCCGGGGGGGGGGGGGGGGGUCAUCUGCUUGCAAUAUGCACAUGACACUAUCCUCUUCCUAGAUAAUGAUAUAGAAAAAGCAGCUAAGCUCAAAACUAUUCUAACUUGCUUUGAGGACGUUUUUGGUAUGAAGAUUAACUACUCUAAGAGUGAAAUCAUACCAUUAGGACUCUCUGAAGGAGAGAUUGCCUUCCAAUACAUCAUGGGCAUUCCCCAUAAAAUACCUAGGUAUCCCACUUCAUUACGACAAGCUUAGAAGAGAGGACAUACAACCUCUUAUUGAUAAAAUCCUCAAGAGAAUGGCAGGGUGGAGGGGCAAACUGCUCUCCUAUUCUGCCAGGAUUGUCUUGAUUAAAACCUGCAUUGCAAGUAUCCCGGUAUACCUGCUCUCUUUCUUUAAAUUUCCUAGAUGGGCACUUGACUUGGUCAAUAGUCAACUGGCUCACUGCCUAUGGAGUGACUUUGAGGGGAACAGGAAGUUACACCUUGCUAACUGGCAUCUAGUUUGUAUGAAGAAAGAAUAUGGUGGUCUAGGUAUCCCAAACAUCAAGAAUGUAAACCUGUGCCUCUUGGGCACCUGGGUGAGAAGGUACACCCAGGAUGGGGGGAAAAUCUGGAGAGAUAUAGUUGAUAGUAAGUACAUUAAAAGGAGCCCAAACAUCUUUGCUUCUAGCACCCAAAAUACCUCCAAAUUUUGGCAAGGUGUUAUGUGGGCGGCUAAAGCUCUGAAGUUUGGAUAUAGAUGGCAAAUAGGGGAUGGUACCAAAAUUAGACUUUGGGAGGAUAUUUGGUUUGUUAGUACAGUUUUGGCCCCUGUACACUAUCUGUCAUCAACAAGGCGUGACUGUAGCUGAAACCUGGGAUGGCACAAAUAUAAAAUUGACCUUCAGGAGAACUUUCUCAGCUGCCAUGAUGGAGGAUUGUGUUGGAAAUAUGCCCUAGAGGCAAUAAUAAAUGGUUAUUAUUAUAUUU